UCAAAUUCUUUUCUCUCUUUUCUGCAGAAAAGACAAUUAUGCCUCUGGUUGAAUCUUUGCUAGUUAGGAAUUAAAAUAAACCUAUCAACAACUUUUCACGUC